rnacentral:misc_RNA from 1 species
UGCCAUGACUGGACAAUUGACUGUCAAAUCUGAUGUCUAUAGUUUUGGGGUUGUGUUUUUGGAGCUUAUCACUGGACGUAAGGCUAUUGACAGCACCAAACCUCAGGGAGAACAAAACCUUGUCGCAUGGGCUAGGCCACUGUUUAAUGAUCGUCGGAAAUUUGCAAAGUUAGCUGAUCCAAGUCUUCAAGGACAAUUUCCGAUGAGAGGUCUGUACCAGGCUUUAGCUGUGGCCUCCAUGUGUAUCCAAGAACAAGCUGCUGGUCGUCCGCUAAUUGGGGAUGUUGUGACUGCCCUUUCUUAUCUUGCAAACCAGUCAUAUGAUCCUGGUACAGUUCCUGGGCAAAUUCAUAGAUUUGGUGCAGACAGUGUUGAUAGGAGAAAUAAAGAUGAUAGAGUUGGAAGAAUACUUAGGAAUGAAGAUGGGGAAGGAGGAGGAUCAGGACGGAAAUGGGACGUGGAUGGAGGAUCUGAGAAGGAAGAUUCUCCAAGGGAAACAGCAAGGAUGUUAAACAGGGAUUUGGAUAGAGAAAGAGCAGUUGCAGAGGCUAAAAUGUGGGGCGAAAAUUGGAGAGACAAGAGAAGACAAAAUGGUCAAGGCAGUUUUGAUGGGGGUAACGAAUAGUCAUUAGAUGUUCGAUCCACAACACUCAUUCCCCAGCUAGCUGUACCUUUGAUAAGGUAGCCUUGAUCUUAUCUUAAUUUUUAGUUGAUCGUCUGUAAAAAACGACAUUUCCACCACCUUAUCUUUAGUUAAGUGUGUGAUGAAGCUAAAAAUAGUCUAUUAUUUCAAACACAAGUUAAAAGAGGACAAAUGAGGAUAUAUUUCAAAAUUGUGAGUAAAGACAUGUCUCAAUUACUUAGCUGAGGAUCAUUUACUGUCUGUAAUCUUUGAUCCUAAACAUGUUAUACACUAAUCUUGAUUUUGUUAUAUGCCG